ACAUUGAAACAUCGGUUCCCGUCCAAUCAUCGAGGUUAAGCAACGUUGAACCUCGUCAGUACUUUGAUGGAUGACCUCCCAGGAAUACCAGGUGUUGAA